UAAUACUAGGGGUGCGAGCGUUGUCCGGAAUCAUUGGGCGUAAAGGGUCCGUAGGCGUCUCAAUAAGUCACUUGUUAAAGACACCGGCUUAACCGGUGGCCUGCAUGUGAAACUGUUGAGAUAGAGUAUAGGAGAGGAAAGUGGAAUUCCUGGUGUAGCGGUGACAUGCGUAGAUAUCAGGAGGAACACCAAUGGCGAAGGCAACUUUCUGGCCUAUUACUGACGCUGAGGGACGAAAGCGUGGGGAGCAAACAGGAUUAGAUACCCUGGUAGUCCACGCCGUAAACGAUGAGUACUUGGUGUCGGGGGAUUCGACCCCUUCGGUACCGGAGCUAACGCAUUAAGUACUCCGCCUGGGAACUACGACCGCGAGGUUG
rnacentral:rRNA from 1 species